UUCUGUGAAAUCCAUUUUGACUGCCAUGUGUUUGCAUUUAUUUUCUUUCCAGUUUAGAUUACUCAUCCAUAACUUAGCAGCAGGACAGAACAUAUUGAAAGCAUGCUUUCUGCUCCACAAGGAAUUGCCUUUCUCCUGUUUCCUAGACUCCAUUUUGCCAUGUUUUCUGAUAGUUCCACUGUGAAGAAUUCUGUCUGAUGGGAUGAAGACGUACAAACCAACAGUGUUCCAAGUCAGCUGAACAUCCCGUUGGGCCACAGUUUCUUUGCAUUCUUUGACCAUGGACAGAAGUUACAAAGUUCUGAACUGCUUCUGCAGAAGAGAUUAUUGCUAAUGACAAACUUGGCUGUAGUGAUCUUUUACAAACAUUGUAAGAAACUGCAAUUUGACCUGAAUAAGCUGUAUUACUGGCUGCAGAGAUUGGCACUGAUGAAGAACACUCCAAAAGAUGGCUUCAUUUUAUUUUACAAGGCCUAAAUGUGUUACUGCCAAUGCCAUUGCACAUGGAUUUCAUGUGAACACUUGG